CUCUCUGUAGCUCAGUUGGUUAGAGCUCAACAACUGGACUGUGUAGUUCAGUUGGUUAGAGCGCUGCACUGGAAUCACAGGUUUGAUUCCUGUCAGAGGGU